AGGAGGAGGAGAGAACAGUGUCCCUGAUGCGUUGCGCCUUGUGCUUCCCCGCCAGGUGUUCUCCCUCUGGUUUCCUAUGUCCUGUUACCAGGAGGAUUUCUUCAAAGAGUACUUCAAGAUGAUGGUGAAUAUUGUCAUCCUGAACUUGAUCAUUUGCAUUUCUCUGGCUUUCUGGGUCGUGUCGAUGACUGCAAACACGUACUACGGUACCUUACGACCCAUUUCUCCGUGGCGCUGGCUUUUUUCAGUCUUUGUUCCACUAAUGAUUGCUACGCAGGGUCUUAAGAAGAAGAGUCUUGAUCACAGUGGUGCAGUGGGAGGAUUGGUGGUUGGAUUUGUCCUUACAGUUGCAAACUACAGUUUCUUCACUUCUUUGUUUGUAUUUUUUGUUACUUCUUCAAAACUUACUAAAUGGAAAAAAGAUAGGAAGAAGCAAAUAGAUUCAGAAUACAAAGAAGGUGGACAGAGGAAUUGGGUGCAAGUUUUCUGUAAUGGUGGUGUUCCUACUGAGCUGGCUCUCUUGUAUAUGAUAGAAAAUGGACCGGGUGAAAUUCCAGUUGACUUUUCAAAGCAAUACACAGCCUCAUGGAUAUGCUUAUCCCUUUUGGGAGCCCUGGCAUGCUCUGCUGGUGAUACUUGGGCUUCAGAGAUUGGUAGUGUUUGGAGUAAAAGCAAGCCAAGGUUGAUAACAACCUGGGAAGAAGUUCCAGUAGGUACUAAUGGAGGAAUUACUUUAGUGGGCCUGCUUUCAAGUUUACUUGGAGGCAUGGCAGUAGGUUUAGCCUAUUUCAUAACACAACUUAUGUGUGUGACUGACCUGGAGAUAUCUGCUCCACAAUGGCCCAUCAUUGUGUUUGCUGCAGCAGCUGGCUUGCUGGGAUCAAUAGUUGAUUCAUAUUUGGGAGCUACGAUGCAAUACAGCGGUUUUGACCAGAAUAUUGGCAUGGUUGUCAACCACCAAACAAAAGACUCUACGCACAUAUCUGGAAAACCUAUAUUAGACAACAAUGCAGUAAAUCUUUUUUCUUCUAUAAUCAUAGCUUUUUUGCUUCCAGGCAUGGCAUUGUGUUUCUGGCCCAGGCGUUGAAAUGGUUUAAGGUUUUGUGCAUGUGAUUCAGUUAUGUUCAGUUGUACUCAAAGACUCCAAAAAGUUCUUUCUGAACUUGCUUGAAGAGAGGGAUCUGAAACUUUGAGAAAGCCAAAGGACUUUUCACCUUGCCUUAAGAAAGCUGUAAGCUUCAUAUGGCAAGUAUCUCUCAUAUCUCUCAGGGCAAGGAAGGGGUUAAUGUCAGUCUGCUCUUGCUACUCUUUAAAUGGAUGUAGAUCAUUGCCAAGUGAGAUGAAGCACUUGAUUUAUGCUCAUGGAGCUGAAGGCAUGGCUGAAGGCAUGGCGUCUUAUGUUCUCUGCAGUCCCCAGCAUCUGGAAGGGCAAGAAAUGGGAAACCGAGUCUAAUCUACAUCUGUCGGAGCAUCGUGGCUGUUGUCUGAGCCAGACACAAAAUAUGCUGCAACUUCAUAAACAAAACAUGCUUUCAAACACUGAAGUGGACACGGUCAGUGUUUCACUAUUUCAUUUGGGUCUGUUUUGAAAAACAGCUUGCCCUAGUGAGAAGACAUCCCUGAUUCUAAAUUCAUAGCGGCAUGGAAUGCUUCGAUCUUUUAUUAUACAAAUGAAUGUGAUCUGAAGGAACUCCUGCAGAUCAGCCUUUUGGUUUAAUUUGAUACGGGUGGCUGAAGUUCUGGAAGGUACAGGACUUUGAUGUAAGAAAAUCAGUAAUCACAUGUUCCAGACGAGAAACAGGAAAAUAGAAACGACAGAAUACAGCAGUUACUCGCAGGAGCCUACUGUCAGUGGGAAGAUGCAUCUUCUAACUCUACUAUGGCAGAGAAUUCCUGGAGAAAUGCAGUCUGCCAGAAUUGAGCUUCAGUUGGUGUCUUACACUUGUGUCCUCUGUUAGAAAAACAAUGCUCAUAGUUACGCUGUCAGGCACAGCACAUGGACUUCAUACAGGGUCUCUCUCCUCUAGCCCUUUUCAGAGCUUCAGCUCUGUUUCUCACUGGAAGAUAGCCUGUAUUUCCAUCACAGUGUUCAGGAUAAUAAUACACUUCAACUUAAGAUUGAUGAAAAAUUGCUUAUGCAGAAAGUUCUCAUUUAACCAGUAAGAUGUAACUGAUAUACAAAUCAUUUCCAUUCAAAGGAGAACUGAAAAGUACAAAUCAGGCCUGCUCUUCAGGAUAACCCUGUGCAUUUAUAAAGAAUGUACAUAGAGCCUGCUGAAAACAGCAAAAAGCUAGAAGAAUAGGAAGGUUUUUUGCUAAAUUUUCAAGACAGCCUUCACAUGGCCCUGUGUCUCAGCAGAUGCCUUUGCCACCAAAUACCCAGGAAAGCCUCAACCUGCUGGGCCCUACAAGCAGCUUGUGCUCAUGAGCAUUGAUUUCCAUUGUCUCUGGCAACCUUAAUGUGAACUUCCUUCUAUUCAGCCUGAAAGAAGAAUAACUAACAUGCCAGUCAGUUUUACUGCCUCUACACAGAGGCGUGAUUCAUAGGAGCCAGCAUCACUUUCCAGCAAGAGAGUAUUUUCAUAGUAACUUGCUGAAACCACUUAUGUGCUAAUAAAAGUGGGAAUUUAUUUAAAGAAAAGAUACUGCUGGAGACUGUGUCUACGUUGAUGUUUUAUCUUGUGUUUACUUUAUUUACAACUGGAGAAAAUAAACCAAGUCCAUGUUGUAGGUGAAUGUAA